rnacentral:rRNA from 1 species
AGAUUAAGUUAUUAAGGGCGCACGGUGGAUGCCUUGGCACUAGAAGCCGAUGAAGGACGUUACUAACGACGAUAUGCUUUGGGUAGCUGUAAGUAAGCGUUGAUCCAGAGAUUUCCGAAUGGGGGAACCCAGCAUGAGUUAUGUCAUGUUAUCGACAUGUGAAUUCAUAGCAUGUCAGAAGGCAGACCCGGAGAACUGAAACAUCUUAGUACCCGGAGGAAGAGAAAGAAAAAUCGAUUCCCUGAGUAGCGGCGAGCGAAACGGGAAGAGCCCAAACCAACAAGCUUGCUUGUUGGGGUUGUAGGACACUCUAUACGGAGUUACAAAAGAACAUGUUAGACGAAUCAUCUGGAAAGAUGAAUCAAAGAAGGUAAUAAUCCUGUAGUCGAAAACAUAUUCUCUCUUGAGUGGAUCCUGAGUACGACGGAGCACGUGAAAUUCCGUCGGAAUCUGGGAGGACCAUCUCCUAAGGCUAAAUACUCUCUAGUGACCGAUAGUGAACCAGUACCGUGAGGGAAAGGUGAAAAGUACCCCGGAAGGGGAGUGAAAGAGAACUUGAAACCGUGUGCUUACAAGUAGUCAGAGCCCGUUAAUGGGUGAUGGCGUGCCUUUUGUAGAAUGAACCGGCGAGUUACGAUCUGAUGCAAGGUUAAGCAGCAAAUGUGGAGCCGCAGCGAAAGCGAGUCUGAAUAGGGCGUUGAGUAUUUGGUCGUAGACCCGAAACCAGGUGAUCUACCCUUGGUCAGGUUGAAGUUCAGGUAACACUGAAUGGAGGACCGAACCGACUUACGUUGAAAAGUGAGCGGAUGAACUGAGGGUAGCGGAGAAAUUCCAAUCGAACUUGGAGAUAGCUGGUUCUCUCCGAAAUAGCUUUAGGGCUAGCCUCAAGUGAUGAUUAUUGGAGGUAGAGCACUGUUUGGACGAGGGGCCCCUCUCGGGUUACCGAAUUCAGACAAACUCCGAAUGCCAAUUAAUUUAACUUGGGAGUCAGAACAUGGGUGAUAAGGUCCGUGUUCGAAAGGGAAACAGCCCAGACCACCAGCUAAGGUCCCAAAAUAUAUGUUAAGUGGAAAAGGAUGUGGCGUUGCCCAGACAACUAGGAUGUUGGCUUAGAAGCAGCCAUCAUUUAAAGAGUGCGUAAUAGCUCACUAGUCGAGUGACACUGCGCCGAAAAUGUACCGGGGCUAAACAUAUUACCGAAGCUGUGGAUUGUCCUUUGGACAAUGGUAGGAGAGCGUUCUAAGGGCGUCGAAGCAUGAUCGCAAGGACAUGUGGAGCGCUUAGAAGUGAGAAUGCCGGUGUGAGUAGCGAAAGACGGGUGAGAAUCCCGUCCACCGAUUGACUAAGGUCUCCAGAGGAAGGCUCGUCCGCUCUGGGUUAGUCGGGUCCUAAGCUGAGGCCGACAGGCGUAGGCGAUGGAUAACAGGUUGAUAUUCCUGUACCACCUAGUAUCGUUUUAAUCGAUGGGGGGACGCAGUAGGAUAGGCGAAGCGUGCUGUUGGAGUGCACGUCCAAGCAGUAAGGCUGAGUGUUAGGCAAAUCCGGCACUCAUAAGGCUGAGUUGUGAUGGGGAGAGGAAAUUGUUUCCUCGAGUCGUUGAUUUCACACUGCCGAGAAAAGCCUCUAGAUAGAUAACAGGUGCCCGUACCGCAAACCGACACAGGUAGUCAAGAUGAGAAUUCUAAGGUGAGCGAGCGAACUCUCGUUAAGGAACUCGGCAAAAUGACCCCGUAACUUCGGGAGAAGGGGUGCUCUUUAGGGUUCACGCCCAGAAGAGCCGCAGUGAAUAGGCCCAAGCGACUGUUUAUCAAAAACACAGGUCUCUGCUAAACCGUAAGGUGAUGUAUAGGGGCUGACGCCUGCCCGGUGCUGGAAGGUUAAGAGGAGUGGUUAGCUUCUGCGAAGCUACGAAUCGAAGCCCCAGUAAACGGCGGCCGUAACUAUAACGGUCCUAAGGUAGCGAAAUUCCUUGUCGGGUAAGUUCCGACCCGCACGAAAGGCGUAACGAUUUGGGCACUGUCUCAACGAGAGACUCGGUGAAAUCAUAGUACCUGUGAAGAUGCAGGUUACCCGCGACAGGACGGAAAGACCCCGUGGAGCUUUACUGUAGCCUGAUAUUGAAAUUCGGCACAGCUUGUACAGGAUAGGUAGGAGCCUUUGAAACGUGAGCGCUAGCUUACGUGGAGGCGUUGGUGGGAUACUACCCUAGCUGUGUUGGCUUUCUAACCCGCACCACUUAUCGUGGUGGGAGACAGUGUCAGGCGGGCAGUUUGACUGGGGCGGUCGCCUCCUAAAAGGUAACGGAGGCGCUCAAAGGUUCCCUCAGAAUGGUUGGAAAUCAUUCAUAGAGUGUAAAGGCAUAAGGGAGCUUGACUGCGAGACCUACAAGUCGAGCAGGGUCGAAAGACGGACUUAGUGAUCCGGUGGUUCCGCAUGGAAGGGCCAUCGCUCAACGGAUAAAAGCUACCCCGGGGAUAACAGGCUUAUCUCCCCCAAGAGUUCACAUCGACGGGGAGGUUUGGCACCUCGAUGUCGGCUCAUCGCAUCCUGGGGCUGUAGUCGGUCCCAAGGGUUGGGCUGUUCGCCCAUUAAAGCGGUACGCGAGCUGGGUUCAGAACGUCGUGAGACAGUUCGGUCCCUAUCCGUCGUGGGCGUAGGAAAUUUGAGAGGAGCUGUCCUUAGUACGAGAGGACCGGGAUGGACAUACCUCUGGUGUACCAGUUGUCGUGCCAACGGCAUAGCUGGGUAGCUAUGUAUGGACGGGAUAAGUGCUGAAAGCAUCUAAGCAUGAAGCCCCCCUCAAGAUGAGAUUUCCCAACUUCGGUUAUAAGAUCCCUCGAAGAUGACGAGGUUAAUAGGUUCGAGGUGGAAGCGUGGUGACACGUGGAGCUGACGAAUACUAAUCGAUCGAAGACUUAAUCAAUUUUUUAAA